CGAUGAAGCCCAGCUUGCUGGGUGGAUUAGUGGCGAACGGGUGAGUAACACGUGAGUAACCUGCCCUUAACUCUGGGAUAAGCCUGGGAAACUAGGUCUAAUACCGGAUAGGAGCGCCUACCGCAUGGUGGGUGUUGGAAAGAUUUAUCGGUUUUGGAUGGACUCGCGGCCUAUCAGCUUGUUGGUGAGGUAAUGGCUCACCAAGGCGACGACGGGUAGCCGGCCUGAGAGGGUGACCGGCCACACUGGGACUGAGACACGGCCCAGACUCCUACGGGAGGCAGCAGUGGGGAAUAUUGCACAAUGGGCGAAAGCCUGAUGCAGCGACGCCGCGUGAGGGAUGACGGCCUUCGGGUUGUAAACCUCUUUCAGUAGGGAAGAAGCGAAAGUGACGGUACCUGCAGAAGAAGCACCGGCUAACUACGUGCCAGCAGCCGCGGUAAUACGUAGGGUGCGAGCGUUAUCCGGAAUUAUUGGGCGUAAAGAGCUCGUAGGCGGUUUGUCGCGUCUGUCGUGAAAGUCCGGGGCUUAACCCCGGAUCUGCGGUGGGUACGGGCAGACUAGAGUGCAGUAGGGGAGACUGGAAUUCCUGGUGUAGCGGUGGAAUGCGCAGAUAUCAGGAGGAACACCGAUGGCGAAGGCAGGUCUCUGGGCUGUAACUGACGCUGAGGAGCGAAAGCAUGGGGAGCGAACAGGAUUAGAUACCCUGGUAGUCCAUGCCGUAAACGUUGGGCACUAGGUGUGGGGACCAUUCCACGGUUUCCGCGCCGCAGCUAACGCAUUAAGUGCCCCGCCUGGGGAGUACGGCCGCAAGGCUAAAACUCAAAGGA
rnacentral:rRNA from 1 species